rnacentral:misc_RNA from 1 species
UUUCCGUAGGUGAACCUGCGGAAGGAUCAUUAAUGAGUUGUCAUGGGGUUCGAUGCUGGCAGCCAGUUUUUGGAUGCAUGUGCUUGCCCUAACAAUCAUCUUCUUCCAAACACCUGAGCACAUUUUUGAGGGAGUCUUGAGUUGGUUGCCGCUCUUGGGUGAUUUUCUCACAUUCCCUUAAAUCAUUAUACGCUAUUAACAAUGUUGAACGUGCUCUGUGCCGCAAGGCCAUUAAUAUAAUACAACUUUUAACAACGGAUCUCUUGGCUCUC